UAAGAGUCCCCUAAACGCCUGGGUUGGGGGGCGCGGGCGGCCAGUGCGGCGACCCUCGAAGCGCUCCAACUUUCCUAACCUCCCGCUGGGAUGCCGCGGAGAGCACAUCUCUAUCAUCAGUUCCCUGAUGGUCCAAGGGUGAGGGGGAGCUACUCUGAGGUUUCUAGAAUUGACAGUCGCAUUCGGGAGAAACGCUGCUGCUCUCUGCAGAGGAGCACCUUUGUUGUUCUGAGAUAUUUGUUUAAGACUCUUCUUUUGAAAAAAUUAAUGCAUGAAAGACGCGUUGAAAUACACGAAUACGUUCUUGAGUGUAAUUUUACACAGCCCAGGCACAUCUAGAGUAAAAGGACCGUAUCACAUCCCCUGCCCAUUGCAGCCGCUCCCCAGAGAAAACAAGCUGUCUUGGAUUUUGAGUUGAUGAGAACUGUUUGGAUUUACAAAAUAAAAAGAGUUCCCAAGGGAGAGGUUUAAAUCUGGCCUCCAAUGGAAAAGAAACUGAAAAUAUAUAUGUAUGUAUGCCUAUGUAUAACUGAAUUGCUUUGCCAUACACCUGAAACUAACAUUGUAAAUCAACUACACUUCAAUAAAAAAUAAGAAUAAAAAAAAAUCUGGCCUCACAAUUCAUAGAGGAAAACAGGAGUGCUGGAGUUUCCAUCCCCUUCUCUGCCACUCUUUCCUUUUCUCUUGUUUGUGACGGGGAGAUGCAGUCCCAGGUGUCCCUCCAAGCCCCUUGCGGAAGCCCUUAGUUUAGUCUGCAGGGAAGGGCGCUGUGUUGGUGAGGC